CCGAACCGACCAGAACCAAAGGUGUGUCUGCAAGGCAAGUCGCUCACAAUUUUAACACCCGGUCUAUUCAUUCAUUCAUUCCUUCGAUCAGACAAGCAGACAUAUCCACACGCCUCGUCUUGAACUGUGCUUCAGUCCCGCUAAGGGCCCCCGGCACUCGACCAGACUACAUGUGUUCAAAAAGAUACCACCACCCGAACCGAACCAAACCAGGGGCAUGUUAACCACACCUUUCAUUCGUCCAUUUAUUCAUACAUCCAAUCAUUCACGCAGACAAAGAAAUGUAAGCACACACGCCUGCCCUGCAGUAGUGUGGCCCGGCACAAUGUAGCUGUAGUAGCUGGUACACAGUAUGGC
rnacentral:lncRNA from 1 species